UUGACCUCGGAUCAGGUAGGGAUACCCGCUGAACUUAAGCAUAUCAAUAAGCGGAGGAAAAGAAACCAACAGGGAUUGCCUCAGUAACGGCGAGUGAAGCGGCAACAGCUCAAAUUUGAAAUCUGACCCCCUCGGGGCCCGAGUUGUAAUUUGUAGAGGGUGUUUCGGGCGCGCGCCGGUCUAAGUUCCUUGGAACAGGACGUCACAGAGGGUGAGAAUCCCGUACGUGACC
rnacentral:rRNA from 1 species